CCUACGGGAGGCGGCAGUGGGGAAUAUUGGACAAUGGGGGCAACCCUGAUCCAGCCAUGCCGCGUGUGUGAAGAAGGCCCUCGGGUUGUAAAGCACUUUCAGUGAGGAAGAACGCCUGGUGGUUAAUACCCAUCAGGAAAGACAUCACUCACAGAAGAAGCACCGGCUAACUCCGUGCCAGCAGCCGCGGUAAUACGGAGGGUGCGAGCGUUAAUCGGAAUUACUGGGCGUAAAGCGCGCGUAGGUGGCUUGAUAAGCCGGUUGUGAAAGCCCCGGGCUCAACCUGGGAACGGCAUCCGGAACUGUCAAGCUAGAGUGCAGGAGAGGAAGGUAGAAUUCCCGGUGUAGCGGUGAAAUGCGUAGAGAUCGGGAGGAAUACCAGUGGCGAAGGCGGCCUUCUGGACUGACACUGACACUGAGGUGCGAAAGCGUGGGUAGCAAACAGGAUUAGAUACCCUGGUAGUC
rnacentral:rRNA from 1 species